AUACCAAAUACGGUCUGUCAGAAUUCUGACUGGCCUUUUUGUACUUCGUCUCCAUGAUGUGGAUGUGAAAGAGAAAGGCUGAAUGUAUCUAUUCUGGUCUCUGCAAAUUGCAUGCAGAGAUAUUUCAGGUUUCUGGCUGACACUGAGUUCAGCCACUCACCUGCUUUCUCAUUUAGACCACUGGUUGAAAUCAUAGCUACGGAGUUACCAUUGUGACAUAAACAGCAGAGAGAGUGACUUAUGCAUUAGCACUUCUCCAGUUUCACUCACCCAUCUCCAUCACGCAUUUCUUAUACUGUCUAUUUUGCACAGUCCUCAUAACUGGCACGCUCAGAUUUUAGUAUUUAUUAGCAAGAGGGUACAGCAGCAUUCAGAAAUAAAGGGAUUACACAAACAGGGACAUUUUUAAAGAACAAUCCAAUGUGAAAACUGGAAGACUGGCAAGAAGACUGAGAAACUAAUACCUUCUGGCAACAGGUUCAAAAUCAGUCUUAGUCAGCAAAAACAUUUAGAAGAUCACUGUGAAAUGAAGUUCCCAUCCAGUGCCAGGAAGUCGGAUUUCCUCACUGCAACGAUAAAUAUCUGCAGAGCUGAAGUGCACGGAAAGAAGACUGUACCAUUCCUCUGAGAGAAUGUGAUCUCCACACAAAUGUCCCCAGAUGCUCAGCCUGUGCGUUCCAGCUCUCCUCCAUUAAAAAUCCAUGUAUACUGCCACUGAUAUUAACAGUCUUUGCUAAUUAGAUGUGUGCCUCAGUUACUUUAGCUGUAACACGUUCAAGGCAAUAAGCUGUUAUACAGCAAAUUGUACAUGGAAAUUUCA